rnacentral:rRNA from 1 species
GGACCCGACCGCUAUCGGGGUGGCGCUAAGCCAUGGGAGUCGCACGCCCCGCCGCUGCGGGGAGUGGCGAACGGCUGAGUAACACGUGGCUAACCUACCCUCGGGAGGGGGAUAACUCCGGGAAACUGGAGCUAAUCCCCCAUAGGCGGGGAGGCCUGGAAUGGUUCUCCGCCGAAAGGGUUCGCCGGGGGCUAUCGCCGGCGAGCCGCCCGAGGAUGGGGCUGCGCCCUAUCAGGUAGUUGGCGGGGUAAUGGCCCGCCAAGCCUAUAACGGGUAGGGGCCGUGAGAGCGGGAGCCCCCAGAUGGGCACUGAGACAAGGGCCCAGGCCCUACGGGGCGCACCAGGCGGGAAACCUCCGCACUGCGGGCAACCGUGACGGGGUCACCCCGAGUGCCCUCCUCUGGGAGGGCUUUUCCCCGCUGUAGGAAGGCGGGGGUAAUAAGCGGGGGGCAAGUCUGGUGUCAGCCGCCGCGGUAAUACCAGCCCCGCGAGUGGUCGGGACGGUUAUUGGGCCUAAAGCGCCCGUAGCCGGCCCGGUAAGUUCCCGCCGAAAUCCCCGGGCUCAACCCGGGGGCCUGCGGGAAUACUGCCGGGCUAGGGGGCGGGAGAGGCCGGGGGUACUCCCGGGGUAGGGGCGAAAUCCUAUAAUCCCGGGAGGACCACCAGUGGCGAAGGCGCCCGGCUGGAACGCGCCCGACGGUGAGGGGCGAAAGCCGGGGGAGCGAACCGGAUUAGAUACCCGGGUAGUCCCGGCUGUAAACGAUGCGGGCUAUGGUGUUGGGAGGGCUUAGAGCCCUCCCAGUGCCGCAGGAANCCUGUAGCCC